GGACCACUGACUGACAGAUAUAAACAGGAGUGUCACUGGGAGCUGGGUGGUCGACUAUCAGCCUGGAGGAAAGUGGGCCUGGGGAGGUUCGGUCAGUACACAGGACAGCCAGAGACUGGAAGGUCGACGACUAUCCUGCAGGAAGGCUAGCCAAGAUGCUACCAGACCUGCUGGGUUUCUCCAGCACUUUCUGGACUUGCACUCAAAAAUAACCUUGGAUAACAAAGAUAUGGAAGACCAUCAGGAUGACAAUAAACAUGCACACAGCACAUACAGCUCCAGUAUACAUACAAGUUGACAGCAUUCAAGUGUGAAGGCUAAAUCUUGAGAAAAUUAUACCAUCAGAAGAUCCAGAAAGAUUAUCAAGCCAUCUACGCACUAUACAGUCUCUUAGACUCUUAAGCUGUUAUUUGAUUCUGAGUAGUUUUGCAACUGCCAUAAUAUAUAUAUAUUUUCUCACUUUGUAUAUGUAACUUUAUCUUGGAGAAAAAGGGAAGACAUGUUAGUGCUUUAAGAGCUUGAUAUGCUAAUGAGCCAAAUGCCAGGAUAUAAAUCACAUGACCAACUAUCAUGCAGUUCAGCAGAAGCAUUGUUAGAAGGUUAUAUGUAAUGACAAUAAUAAAUUAAUAGUGAAAUAAUAAUUAAUAAAUUUGUUUGAGGUUUUCAGAUAGACUGAAGCCAAGCUA